CAUUGUUUCUAAAAAAAAUACAUCUUAACCCAGUUGUUACACUCCUGACAGACCUGGGUAGUCCUCUUAUUGUAACCAUAAUAUUCCAGUAGUAGAACUUCAGGGUCAACUGGAUGCACCUGUGCCAAGCUAUGAUACUAAACAAAAAAAAUAAACCGUGCAAGAUGUACAGAAACAUGUUAUUUCACCUACAAAGACAUUUUCUGGCAGCAUAUUGACUUUUACUAACAUUUUUUUUUUUACACAAACUUAUUUGACUUACCUUAUGAGGCUCAUAAAAAUGUAAAUAUAUGGAAGAAUUGAACAAGAAAUCAUAGUCAAGAUAUAAUAGUUGGAUGAAAGAUAUUGUUUGGUAUUGUAUCUGCCCUUAUUUAUUCUAUAUCAUCAAUGAAUGCACAUGCUUUCUUCUAAAUGUCACACUAAAAGCGUUACACUCCUGACAUUUUGAGGUACAAUUUUGGACAAU
rnacentral:lncRNA from 1 species